AAGUAGUGAAGUAAAAUUUACUUUUAGUUUCGACCUAAAAUUAGGGUAUAGACCCCUUACUUU
rnacentral:tRNA from 1 species